GAUAAACGCUGGCGGCGUGCCUUAUGCAUGCAAGUCGAACGGUACUUUGUUCUUCGGAACAAAGGAGAGUGGCGAACGGGUGAGUAACGCAUAAGUAACCUACCCCCAAGUAGGGGAUAACUCUGAGAAAUCGGAGCUAAUACCGUAUGUGAUAAUGGAGGUAAUGCUCCAUUAUUAAAGUCUUAGGGUGCUUGGGGAGGGGCUUGUGUCCGAUUAGCUAGUUGGUAGGGUAACGGUUUACCAAGGCGAUGAUCGGUAGCUGGUUUAAGAGGACGGUCAGCCACACUGGGACUGAGACACGGCCCAGACUCCUACGGGAGGCAGCAGCAAGGAAUUUUGUGCAAUGGGCGAAAGCCUGACACAGCAACGUCGCGUGGGGGAUGAAGGCCUUCGGGUUGUAAACCCCUUUUCUCAGGGAAGAAUAAUGACGGUACCUGAGGAAUAAGUCUCGGCUAACUACGUGCCAGCAGCCGCGGUAAGACGUAGGAGGCGAACGUUAUUCGGAUUUACUGGGCGUAAAGGGAGCGUAGGCGGUUCCUUAAGUCAGAUGUGAAAUCUUCUGAUUCAAUCAGAAGGGGUCAUUUGAUACUGAGGGACUUGAGAAUAGCAGAGGGAAAUGGAAUCCCCAGUGUAGCGGUGAAAUGCGUAGAUAUUGGGGAGAACACCAGUGGCGAAGGCGAUUUCCCAGGUUGUUUCUGACGCUGAGGCUCGGAAGCGUGGGGAGCGAAGCGGAUUAGAUACCCGCGUAGUCCACGCCCUAAACGGUGGACACUAGACAUGGGAGGUAUCGACCCUUUCUGUGUCGAAGCUAACGCCUUAAGUGUCCCGCCUGGGGAGUACGGCCGCAAGGCUA
rnacentral:rRNA from 1 species